UAACGCGUGGAUAACCUGCCUCACACUGGGGGAUAACAGUUAGAAAUGACUGCUAAUACCGCAUAAGCGCACAGCACCGCAUGGUACAGUGUGAAAAACUCCGGUGGUGUGAGAUGGAUCCGCGUCUGAUUAGCCAGUUGGCGGGGUAACGGCCCACCAAAGCGACGAUCGGUAGCCGGACUGAGAGGUUGAACGGCCACAUUGGGACUGAGACACGGCCCAG
rnacentral:rRNA from 1 species